rnacentral:rRNA from 1 species
UACGUAGGGCGCAAGCGUUGUCCGGAAUUAUUGGGCGUAAAGAGCUCGUAGGCGGUCUGUCGCGUCUGCCGUGAAAACCCGAGGCUUAACCUCGUGGCUUGCGGUGGAUACGGGCAGACUAGAGGUAGGUAGGGGAGAAUGGAAUUCCCGGUGUAGCGGUGAAAUGCGCAGAUAUCGGGAGGAACACCGGUGGCGAAGGCGGGUCUCUGGGCAACAACUGACGCUGAGGAGCGAAAGCGUGGGGAGCGAACAGG